AGGAGCCGGAUGAUGGGAAACUAUCACGUCCGGUUCCGUGGGAGGGGUAGAGGCCAUCCUUCCGGGACGCUUCGCCCCUACCCGAC
rnacentral:ncRNA from 2 species